rnacentral:rRNA from 1 species
CGCCCAUUAGCUAGCCCAACCCCCCUCUCCCCAACAAUCUCAUACAAAUACCCACCAAUAUACGUAAUAUUCACAUAAUUAAAUCAUUCUCCCCCCUUAGUCCAGGCGAUGAAAAAGGAAAUUCGGAGCAAUAGAAAAAGUACCGCAAGGGAAAGCUGAAAGAGAGAUGAAAUAGCCCAGUAAAGCCUUAAGAAGCAGAGAUAAAGACUCGUACCUUUUGCAUCAUGAUUUAGCUAGCACCCCCAAGCGAAGAGAACUUAAAGUUUGUACCCCCGAAACUGAGUGAGCUACUCCAAGACAGCCUAUUAAUAGGGCAAACCCGUCUCUGUGGCAAAAGAGUGGGAAGAGCUUCGAGUAGAGGUGACAAGCCUACCGAACUCAGUUAUAGCUGGUUGCCCGUGAAUUGAAUAGAAGUUCAGCCCCCCAGAUUCCCCACUCUUGCACCCACUAACCCUCCAGACACAGAGAGAAACUAGGGAUGUUAUUCGAAGGGGGUACAGCCCCUUUGAAAUAAGAUACAACUUUUACAGCAGGUUAAGGAUCACACUCAACCAAGGAUAUGUGUUCUAGUGGGCCUAAAAGCAGCCAUCUUAACAGAAAGCGUUAAAGCUCAAACAUAAGCUACCUCCCCACAUCCCGAUAAUUUUAUCCCAAACCCCUAAACUUAACGAGCCCUCCUAUGCUAAACAUAGGAAUGACGAUGCUAAUAUGAGUAAUAAGAGAAUAUUAAGAACUCUCUCCUCGCACAUGUGUAAGUCGGGACGGACCCCCCACCGACUCUUAACGGCCCCAAUCAAAGAGGGCAGUGGAAAGUGUUAUAAAUUAACUAGAAAAACAUCCAAUAAAACCCGUUAACCCCACACUGGCGUGCCUAAAAGGAAAGACCAAAGGGGGGAGAAGGAACUCGGCAAAAAUAUUUAGAGCCUCGCCUGUUUACCAAAAACAUCGCCUCUUGCAAAGCUACAGUAUAAGAGGUCCCGCCUGCCCGGUGACGUGGAGUUUAACGGCCGCGGUAUUCUGACCGUGCAAAGGUAGCGUAAUCACUUGUCUUUUAAAUGGAGACCCGUAUGAAUGGCAUAACGAGGGCUUAACUGUCUCCUUCCCCCGGUCAAUGAAAUUGAUCUCCCCGUGCAGAAGCGGGGAUAAACCCAUAAGACGAGAAGACCCUAUGGAGCUUUAGACGCACAGGCAGAUCAUAUUAAAUAGACCUUACUACAGCCCCUAAACUAGAUGAAACCUGCCUCGAUGUCUUCGGUUGGGGCGACCAUGGGGUACACAAAACCCCCACGAGGAAUAGGAGUACACCCCGACACCACGACCUCCUACAAACCAGAGCGACAGCUCUACCCAGCAGAAAUUCUGACCAAACUGAUCCGGCAACGCCGAUCGACGAACUGAGUUACCCUAGGGAUAACAGCGCAAUCCCCUUCUAGAGCCCAUAUCGACAAGGGGGUUUACGACCUCGAUGUUGGAUCAGGACAUCCUAAUGGUGCAGCCGCUAUUAAGGGUUCGUUUGUUCAACGAUUAAAGUCCUACGUGAUCUGAGUUCAGACCGGAGUAAUCCAGGUCAGUUUCUAUCUAUGCCGUGAGCUUUUCUAGUACGAAAGGACCGAGAAGAAGGGGCCCAUGCCCCUGGCAAGCCUCACCCCCACCUGGUGAAAAAAUAUAAACUAGACAAAAGGGCAUAGCCCCCCCCCCCCCUGCUGAAGACGACAGUUC